AACUGCGUGUAGACUCCAAGAACUACAAAUUAUUUUGUUAUCUGAUCGAUACGAAAUACGUUGAGAUUUUAAGAAGUCACCAUCACAAAGAGCCUCAGCGAUGAGAGAAAGAACCGAGUAGAAAAACCACAGAAAGCUGUAUGAGAAGGAAAAACAGCCAGUGCAAUAAAAGGUCAAUGGAA